UAGAAAUAACUUGAUUGUAAAUAUCAAAACAAAUCAAGGGUAGAAUUUUACUUGUACUUCCGUUUUAAUAGAUUUGAUGUUGUAACUAAAUUAUUAACAUCACUUCGAAUAAAUUGAUGUAAAUCUAUACUUACAUCACUUUAGUUACAGAAAUGAUACAAAGUUAACAAAUGAUAUUAACUUAGUUUCAGUUAAAGUUAAUGUGUUGUUCGUGUUGGUUACCCCGUAAGGCCGUAACUAUAUGGAUAUUUCCCUUAUUUUGUUUCAAAAUAUAACGAAUAAUAACUUUUUAAUCACCCAAUAUCCUUUAAUCACGCCUCCAGAGUCAUCUUCUUCCAC
rnacentral:lncRNA from 1 species